rnacentral:misc_RNA from 1 species
CUCAGGCCUCAGGACAAUAUC